GGCGACAUGGCCGAGUGGUCUAAGGCGCCGUCUUAAGGAGUUCGCCUGUUCUGGCACAGGGGUAUUCGGCGGUCUUCGGGCGUGGGUUCGAAUCCCACUGUCGUCA
rfam:Puccinia sorghi strain RO10H11247 Scaffold_3222, whole genome shotgun sequence.